UUGCAGCUUAUUAAGCCGACUGGUCUUGCUGUGGUGCAUUUCUGGUGUGCAAAGGCUGCAGACAUUAAAUCUUUGUGUGUGUAUAUACCAUCAGCUGGGAAGUGCUGAGGUUGUAAAGAGAUCAUUGAGACAAAC